rnacentral:rRNA from 1 species
UACGUAGGGGGCAAGCGUUGUCCGGAUUUAUUGGGCGUAAAGAGCGUGUAGGCGGCCUGACAGGUCUGCUGUGAAAACUCGAGGCUCAACCUCGAGAUGUCGGCGGAAACCGUCUGGCUAGAGUCCGGAAGAGGAGAGUGGAAUUCCUGGUGUAGCGGUGAAAUGCGCAGAUAUCAGGAAGAACACCUAUGGCGAAGGCAGCUCUCUGGGACGGUACUGACGCUGAGGCGCGAAAGCUAGGGGAGCAAACAGG